CAGUAGCCACGGGAAUACGAAGGGGGCUAGCGUUGUUCGGAAUCACUGGGCGUAAAGCGCACGUAGGCGGAUUUUUAAGUCAGGGGUGAAAUCCCGAGGCUCAACCUCGGAACUGCCUUUGAUACUGGAGAUCUUGAGUUCGGAAGAGGUUGGUGGAACAGCUAGUGUAGAGGUGAAAUUCGUAGAUAUUAGCUAGAACACCAGUGGCGAAGGCGGCCAACUGGUCCGACACUGACGCUGAGGUGCGAAAGCGUGGGGAGCAAACAGGAUUAGAUACCCGUGUAGUCCCUGUCUCUUAUAC
rnacentral:rRNA from 1 species